GACAACAUCAACCUUCCUCAUCUCCUCCAGGACUAGCACACACAUCAACCUUCCUCCUCUCCUCCCAGGACAACAUCAACCUUCCACCUCUCCCCAAGACAACAUCACGCUUCCACCUCUCCUCCAGGACAACAUCAACCUUUCCCCUUCCUCCAGGACAACAUCAACCUUCCUCCUCUCCUCCAGGACUACAGUACAACAUCAAUCUUCCUUCCUCUCCUCCGGACACAUCAACCUUCCUCCUCUCCUCCCGGAGUACAGUACAACAGCAACCUUCCUCCUCUCCUCUAGUACAACAUCAACCUUUCUCCUCUCCUCCGGGACAACAUCAACCUUCCACCUCUCCUCCAGGACAACAUCAACCUUCCACCUCUCCCCAGGAGACAGUACAACAUCAACCUUCCACAUCUCCUCCAGGAACACAUCAACCUUCCUCCUCUCCUCUAGUACAACAUCAACCUUCCUCCUCUCCCCAGGACAACAUCAACCAUCCUCCUCUCCUCCAGUACCACAUCAACCUUCUUCCUCUUCCUCCAGGACAACAUCAACCUCCUCAUCUCCUCCAGACAACAUCAACCUUCACCUCUCCUCCAGUACAACAUCAACCUUGCUCCGCUCCUCCAGGACAACAUCAACCUUCCUCCCUCUCCUCCAGGAGUACAGUACAACAUCAACCUUCCACCUCUCCCACGGAGGCAGUACAAACAUCAACCUUCCACUCUCCUUCAGGAGUACAGUACAACAUCAACCUUCCUCCUCUCCUCAGUACAACAUCAACCUUCCACCUCUCCUCCAGGACAACCUCAACCUUCCACAUCUCCUCCAGGACACAUCAACCUUCCACUCCUCCAGGACAACAUCAACCUUCCACCUCUCUCCAGGACAACAUCAACCUUCCUCCUCUCCUCAGGACUAUUACAACAUCAACCCUCCUCUCCUCCAGUACACCAUCAACUUCUUCCUUUCCUCCAGGACAACAUCAACCUUCCUCCUCUCCUCCAGGACAACAUCAACCUUCCACCUCUCCUCCAGGAGUACAGUACAACAUCAACCUUCCUCCCUCCUCCCAGACCAACAACCUCCUCCUCUCCUCCAGUAC
rnacentral:lncRNA from 1 species